rnacentral:rRNA from 1 species
UACAGAGGUCUCAACCGUUGUUCGGAUUCAUUGGGCGUAAAGGGUGCGUAGGCGGUCGGGUAAGUCGGGUGUGAAAUCUCAGGGCUCAACCCUGAAACUGCAUUCGAUACUGCCUGGCUAGGGUACUGGAGAGGAGACUGGAAUUUACGGUGUAGCAGUGAAAUGCGUAGAUAUCGUAAGGAAGACCAGUGGCGAAGGCGAGUCUCUGGACAGUUACCGACGCUGAGGCACGAAGGUCAGGGGAGCAAACGGG